UACGAAGGGGGCUAGCGUUGCUCGGAAUCACUGGGCGUAAAGCGCACGUAGGCGGCUUGCUAAGUCAGGGGUGAAAUCCUGGAGCUCAACUCCAGAACUGCCUUUGAUACUGGCGAUCUUGAGUCCGGGAGAGGUGAGUGGAACUGCGAGUGUAGAGGUGAAAUUCGUAGAUAUUCGCAAGAACACCAGUGGCGAAGGCGGCUCACUGGCCCGGUACUGACGCUGAGGUGCGAAAGCGUGGGGAGCAAACAGG
rnacentral:rRNA from 1 species